GGAUUUCCUCUCUGCCUUUUGGGGCGAGAUAUGGCUGAUGCCUUGAUAUGGAGGAGGAAGCAGCGGCAUCGAGCCCAUGCCCACAGUUGGCCUGAGGCCCACUCAGCACCUGGUGCCAACCCAGGGCAGUGAGAGGAGACAGAGACUGUCCCUGGCUCAGAACCAACUGCGGUGGAGAGCGGAGGGAGGCCAUGGGAGCCACUCCUCUUGCCCUGCUGAGGGUGUCUGGGUGGAUGAGGGCCACCACGGACCCAGGCCAGGAUGGCUGCUGUGGGGGAGGAGACCGCCGGGGCAGCAGUGACGGCCAAGAGCAGCGAGUGAGAAAAAAAAGACCAGUGUUUUACUGGCUCACGGGGAGGCAGCUAUCACCAGGGCUACAAGACUCUGCAAAGAAACCCGUGCACUUCCAAGUUCGUGGUGAAAGGAAAGACACUUGGCAGCUGGGCAGGACUUUUUUUUUUUUUUUUUAAGACGGAGUCUCGCUCUGUUGCCAGGCUG
rnacentral:antisense_RNA from 1 species